AUUGAACGCUGGCGGCAGGCCUAACACAUGCAAGUCGAGUGGAGCGGCGGACGGGUGAGUAAUGCCUAGGAAUCUGCCUGGUAGUGGGGGAUAACGUCCGGAAACGGGCGCUAAUACCGCAUACUAUCAGAUGAGCCUAGGUCGGUUUAGCUAGUUGGUGGGGUAAAGGCCUACCAAGGCGACGAUCCGUAACUGGUCUGCGAGGAUGAUCAGUCACACUGGAACGGAGACCCGCUCCAGACUCCUACGGGAGGCGGCAGUGGGGAGUAGUGGGGAAGGGGCGAAAGCCUUCUCCAGACGUGCCGCGUGUGUGAAGAAGGUCUUCGGAUUGUAAAGCACUUUAAGUUGGGAGGCGUUACCAACAGAAUAAGCAACGGCUAACUUCGUGCCAGCAGCCGCGGUAAUUC
rnacentral:rRNA from 1 species